rnacentral:rRNA from 1 species
UGGGGAAUAUUGCACAAUGGGGGAAACCCUGAUGCAGCGACGCCGCGUGAGUGAAGAAGUAUUUCGGUAUGUAAAGCUCUAUCAGCAGGGAAGAAAAUGACGGUACCUGACUAAGAAGCCCCAGCUAACUACGUGCCAGCAGCCGCGGUAAUACGUAGGGGGCAUGCGUUAUCCGGAUUUACUGGGUGUAAAGGGAGCGUAGACGGCGGAACAAGUCAGAAGUGAAAACCCGGGGCUCAACCCUGGGAGUGCUUUUGAAACUGUUUGGCUGGAGUGCAGGAGAGGUAAGCGGAAUUCCUAGUGUAGCGGUGAAAUGCGUAGAUAUUAGGAGGAACACCAGUGGCGAAGGCGGCUUACUGGACUGUAACUGACGUUGAGGCUCGAAAGCGUGGGGAGCAAACAGG